UGGGGAAUUUUGGAUAAUGGGGGAAACCCUGAUCCAGCCAUCCCGCGUGUGCGAUGAAGGCCUUCGGGUUGUAAAGCACUUUUUGCAGGAAAGAAACGUCAUGGGUUAAUACCCCGUGAAACUGACGGUACCUGCAGAAUAAGCACCGGCUAACUACGUGCCAGCAGCCGCGGUAAUACGUAGGGUGCAAGCGUUAAUCGGAAUUACUGGGCGUAAAGCGUGCGCAGGCGGUUCGGAAAGAAAGAUGUGAAAUCCCAGAGCUCAACUUUGGAACUGCAUUUUUAACUACCGGGCUAGAGUGUGUCAGAGGGAGGUGGAAUUCCGCGUGUAGCAGUGAAAUGCGUAGAUAUGCGGAGGAACACCGAUGGCGAAGGCAGCCUCCUGGGAUAACACUGACGCUCAUGCACGAAAGCGUGGGGAGCAAACAGG
rnacentral:rRNA from 1 species